rnacentral:rRNA from 1 species
GAUGAACGCUGGCGGCGUGCCUAAUACAUGCAAGUCGAGCGAACGGACGAGAAGCUUGCUUCUCUGAUGUUAGCGGCGGAUGGGUGAGUAACACGUGGAUAACCUACCUAUAAGACUGGGAUAACUUCGGGAAACCGUAGCUAAUACCGGAUAAUAUUUUGAACCGCAUGGUUCAAAAGUGAAAGACGGUCUUGCUGUCACUUAUAGAUGGAUCCGCGCUGCAUUAGCUAGUUGGUAAGGUAACGGCUUACCAAGGCAACGAUGCAUAGCCGACCUGAGAGGGUGAUCGGCCACACUGGAACUGAGACACGGUCCAGACUCCUACGGGAGGCAGCAGUAGGGAAUCUUCCGCAAUGGGCGAAAGACUGACGGAGCAACGCCGCGUGAGUGAUGAAGGUCUUCGGAUCGUAAAACUCUGUUAUUAGGGAAGAACAUAUGUGUAAGUAACUGUGCACAUCUUGACGGUACCUAAUCAGAAAGCCACGGCUAACUACGUG